CGCAAUGAGAUGAAUGGCCGCCGCACCUGACUGGCACCAGGAAGUGAGGACGGACCCGAACCUGCCCGGUGACCGGAGGACCGACUGACCGUCCGGACCGACUCCGGGCCCGCGAGCUGCGAGGCGACGCACCCUGACUGCGAUGGGAUGCUGCGGGAGCGCGGAGAGGACAAAGAGGGAGUGGAGACCGCUGGAGGACCGGAGCUGCACAGACCUGCCCUGGUUCCUGCUCUUCACCGUCUUCUGCGUCGGCAUGGGCAGCAUCUGCAGCUUCACCAUCGUCACCGGCGGCGCCGCUCGCCUCGUCUUCGGAUACGACAGCUACGGCAACACGUGUGGGCAACGCAACGAGCUGAUCGAAGGCGUCCGGCUGAGCGGCCUCGACCACACCGACAGGAAGUUUGUCUUCUUCCUGGAUCCCUGUAACGUGGACAUCGUCCAGAGGAAGAUCAGGUCCACGGCCCUGUGUGUGUCUCUGUGCCCCCCCGAGGAGCUGAACACCUACCAGGACCUGAAGAGGUUCGCCAUGCUCAACGGUUCAGAGUUGUGUUCCUACGAGUUAGCGGCUCAUAAAUAUCCCGGUCUACCUGAGAGGUUCUCUAAAUGUCCCAGACUUCCUGUUCCUCCCAGUAAGCCGUUGCCAGUGUUUAACCGCUGCACUCCGGUGGACAUUUCCUGUUAUGCGAAGUUUGCGGAGGCGGUGGUGACGUUUGUGGGUGACAGCAGCGUUCUGCACCGACUGAUCGCCGGCGUCGCCGCCAGUAAAGAGAUCAUCAUCGGACUGUGUGUGCUCGCUCUGGUCCUCUCUAUGAUCCUCAUGGUGAUCAUUCGGUACAUCUCAGCCGUCCUCGUUUGGAUCCUCACCGCGCUGGUGGUCCUGGGAUCCCUUGCGGGAACCAGCGUCCUCUGGUGGUUCUACAUCGACCACCGGCUCUACGGAAACCACACCUCUAAUAGAGCGAAGGAGGAGCUGCAGCUCAGCAGGGACAGCGGACAGACACUGCUGGUCUACGCCGGCGCCGCCACCGUGUUCACGAUCAUCCUGCUGCUGUUGAUGCUGUUCAUGAGGAAACGAGUGGCUCUGACCAUCGCUCUGUUCCACGUGGCGGGAAAAGUCUUCCUCCACCUCCCCCUCCUCACCCUGCAGCCCUUCGUUACCUUCCUCGCCCUCCUGCUCUUCUGGAUCUACUGGAUCCUGGUUCUGCUCUUCCUGGGAACCAGCGGGAACCCAGUCCAGAAUGAGGAGACUGGUCUGACAGAGUUCAGACUGACGGGUCCUCUGCAGUACCUGACCUGGUACCAUGCGGUGGGUCUGGUCUGGAUCACUGAGUUCAUCCUGGCCUGCCAACAGAUGACUGUGGCCGGAGCUGUCGUCACCUACUACUUUACCAGGGACAAGAACCGCCUCCCGGUGACCCCGAUCCUGUCGUCCAUCCUGAGGCUGGUCAGGUAUCACCUGGGAACCGUCGCUAAGGGAGCCUUCAUCAUCACCCUGGUCAAGAUCCCCCGACUCUUCCUCAUGUACAUCCACAACCAGCUCAAAGGAAAGGAGAAUGCGUGUGCGCGCUGCCUGCUGAAGACGUGUAUCUGCUGUCUGUGGUGUUUGGAGAAGUGCCUCAACUAUCUCAAUCAGAAUGCAUAUGCAGCCACGGCCAUCAACAGCACCAGUUUCUGCACGUCUGCACGUGACGCCUUCGUGAUCCUGGUGGAGAACGCUCUGCGCGUCGCCACAAUCAACGCCGUCGGAGACUUUGUGCUUUUCCUGGGGAAGAUCCUGAUCGUGACGUCCACGGCGUUCGCGGGCGUCCUCCUCCUGAACUACCAGCGUGACUACGCCGAGUGGCUGCUGCCUCUGAUGAUCGUGUGUCUCUUCUCCUUCCUGGUGGCUCACUGCUUCCUGUCCAUCUUUGAGAUUGUGGUGGACGUCCUCUUCCUCUGCUUCGCCAUCGACACAAAGUACAACGACGGCACUCCGGGGAAGGAGUUCUUCAUGGACAAAGCCCUGAUGGAGUUCGUGGAGAGCAGCCGGCGGUUGGAGCGGGCAGUGGAGCGUGGGCGGAGCCGGGUGAAGGAGGCGGUGUCGGAGGGGGCGGAGAUGAAGCCCAUGGUGAGUGACAGCGGAGGGGGCGUGGCCAAGCAGAAGAGCUCGUUGUCAGAGGAGGUGGGGGUUGAGCUGGAGGGGGACGGGGGGGAAUGGGAGGAGCUCCAGGAGUUCCAGGUGUACUACCUGCUGGUGGGGGUGCUGGUGGACUGGGUGCUGACGGAGCAGAGCGACUUUGUUCUCUGUCUCAGCGAAGACGUCGUCCUCUUCCUCUGCAUCUACCUGCCCACCUCCACCCUCUUCCUGUUUGUCAGCCUGCUGCAAGCGCCAAGCCCCACCCCCUCCGCCAGCAGCCAAUCCGCCACCGUCAACGCCGCAAGCUAACACACGUGCUAACUGAUGCAUGCUAAAUGACAUGUGCUAACUGAUGCAUGCUAACGGACGUGUGCUAACCCCACGUGCUAACUGAGGCACACUGCUCUGAGCAUGCUGAUUGGAUGAGAACUGAAGCAUGCUAAUCAGACUCAUCUUCUUCAUCAUCUUCAUCAUCAUCAUCAUCAUCAUCACAGCUGCUUCUUCAACAUCUGGGACCAAACUCUUCAUUGACUUUAUGUUUAUUUGUCAUUUAUUUUUUAUACUUUUGUAUCUUUGUAUUUAAAAGGGUUAAAAGUUAUUUUGCAGCUGGUUGUUCUAUUGGUCCUCAUUAACUCACCGCGGUGCCUUUAAGGACUCAGCAGAUCAUCAGAUAACUCAGUGAGGAAGGAGCUUCAGGCUCCGGGGACGAGUUCAGCUUGACCAAAAUCAGCCGACGGGACUUCUUAAAGAAAAGAGACAUUCCAAAAGUUUAUUUUUACCAACGUGUAACAUGUUUACUAUGGUUUCACUCCAGGGAAAACUAUUUUAAUAAGAAACUGUAAAAACGUAACAAUGUAAUGAAGCACUUUAUACUGAAGCGCUGCACAUUUUAAACCGGCUGAUGCAUUUUUUCGUAGUGAUGUCCUUUUUUAUAAAACGUCUCACUGAACUCUUCGCUCACACUUCAGUUUGAACACUUUUUAUAACCGGUUCUGCUCUGGAGACACAAACUGGAUGCUAUGUUGGAUCAGGAGCGCCGGGAUCUCAUCAGAGGAGCGGAGUCUGCAGACAGUCGGGACAGCAGCUCUGACUGGAGAGUGGCGGUCCCUGGUCCUGGUCCUGCUGGUCCUGGUCUUGGUCUUAAUGGUCCUGGUCCGGAUCCUCCUGGUCCUGGUCCUGCUGGUCCUGGUCUUAAUGGUCCUGGUCCGGAUCCUCCUGGUCCUGGUCCUGGUCCCAGAAUGUGAAACGUUGAAGGCUGUCGUCAUAGAAACUAAAUCUGACUGUAACCCAGACCGGAAUCUGAUUGGCUGUUCUGGCCCGUUUAAAGGUUCAGUGGCGCCAAGAGUCCUGCAGGUGAGGGUCAUGUGACCAACUCGUGUAGCCCAACUAGCAUCAUCGCUAACGAGGCUAAUACAGCUAGCCCGUUGCUGUUGGAAUAUGAGACGUUUAAUAUUUGAUAUCAUGUUUGAGUGUCUGAUAAUCACGGCGACAUCGAGGCCGUCUUCUUCUUCUUUGUCUCAUAUUCCUGCACACAUCGUGAACACUCAACAUAAAGUCAGAAGAGUUUUACUUUCUCAAAUGUUACGUUGCACAAAUCACAAUGUGAUGACGUAAAACCUCCACCACCACUUCCACUUUAGUGAGAGCGUUCUGUUAUUAAUAUGAAUGAUCAUGUAUGUUUCCUGUUGAUUUAAUGGUGCAAAACUAAAGUCUAACUUCUUACCUUUCUAAACAAACAUGGUUUGAAUCCUUUACUGAAGUUGACAGUGGGACGCUAACGCCAGUGAAUUAGCCCUUUUCUCCUGUAAACACUGGGCGCUGCUGGUUUUAAGGCCCGAAUCAAGUUGUGGAAGAAGAACUCAGAAGUUUUUCUUUUAAGUUUCUAAAAGGAUUUUUCUGUUGCGUUGACUUUGGUCCCUGUGGACGUAGAAAACCUCUCAGGUUCAGAAGGUUUAGUGUUGACGUGGAGUCUGUGACGAUGACCAAAAGUCACAUUGUUGUCUUCAGCCGUCUCCUGGAUCAGACUUCCUGUCACCAUAAAGCGUUUGCCCUAUUAGCACCAGAGAAGAAGAGGCGUGUGGGCGGGGCUUCCUGUGGAGUUCAGACAGUCAGCAAUAAAACAAACUGCAUCAUGUGACCAACAACAACAACUCUAACAAGUCUUCCUGCUUCUGUGUGUUCAUCAUGUCCAACACGUCGUCUGAGACAGGAAGUUAAAGUGUAGGAGACAAUGCUAACGACGCUAACGACUCACGCGACAACGUAAACUUUUAGUUUCCUCUCUCUCUCUUUAAACAAUGUAACUUGACGCGUUUGGGUUUCAUGUUCUGAUCACCUGCUUCAUUUAUUUACACUUUGAUUCUGUCGUCAUAAUUACUUUAAUCUGUCACGUAAAGUCUACGUCAACUUUUGAAACGUGGCUAAAGAGAAUCGUUUCCAUCGACUGAGCCAAUAAACAUUAAACACAGUAGAAGAAGAAGUAGAGGUUGAGUUUACAUCAGGACGUCCUCCAUUAAACAGUAGAAGAAGAAGUAGAAGUUGAGUUUACAGUAG